CGCCAUAGGAUGGGACUGCGGCCUAUCAGCUNGUUGGUGAGGUAAUGGCCCACCAAGGCGAUUACAGGUACGGGCUNUGAGAGGAGAAGCCCGGAGAUGGGUANUGAGACACGGACCCAGGCCCUAUGGGGCGCAGCAGGCGAGAAAACUUUGCAAUGUGCGAAAGCACGACAAGNUUAGUCCGAGUGAUUUCUGCUAAAGAGAUCUUUUGCAAGUUCUAAAACCACUAGUGAAUAAGGGGUGGGCAAGUUCUGGUGUCAGCCGCCGCGGUAAAACCAGCGCCUCGAGUGGUCAGGAGGAUUAUUGGGCCUAAAGCAUCCGUAGCCGGCUCUGUAAGUUUUCGGUUAAAUCCAUGCGCUCAACGCAUGGGCUGCCGAAAAUACUGCAGAGCUAGGGAGUGGGAGAGGUAGACGGUACUCGGUAGGAAGGGGUAAAAUCCUUUGAUCUAUCGAUGACCACCUGUGGCGAAGGCGGUCUACCAGAACACGUUCGACGGUGAGGGAUGAAAGCUGGGGGAGCAAACCGGAUUAGAUACCCGGGUAGUCCCAGCUGUAAACGAUGCAGACUCGAUGAUGCAUUGGCAUAUAGCCAGUGCAGUGUCGCAGGGAAGCCGUUAAGUCUGCCGCCUGGGAAGUACGUACGCAAGUAUGAAACUUAAAGGAAUUGGCGGGGGAGCACCACAAGGGGUGAAGCCUGCGGUUCAAUUGGAGUCAACGCCAGAAAUCUUACCCGGAGAGACAGCAGAAUGAAGGUCAAGCUGAAGACUUUACCAGACAAGCUGAGAGGUGGUGCAUGGCCGUCGCCAGCUCGUGCCGUGAGAUGUCCUGUUAAGUCAGGUAACGAGCGAGAUCCCUGCCAUUAGUUGCUAUCAUUAUUCUCAGGAAUAGUGGGGCGAACUAGUGGGACUGCCGUUGUUAAAACGGAGGAAGGAAGGGGCUACGGCAGGUCAGUAUGCCCCGAAACUCUGGGGCCACACGCGGGCUGCAAUGGUAGUGACAAUGAGUUCCAAACUCGAAAGAGAGUGGCAAUCUCCAAACACUACCACAGUUAUGACUGAGGGCUGUAACUCGCCCUCACGAAUAUGGAAUCCCUAGUAACCGCGCGUCAUUACCACGCGGUGAAUACGUCCCUGCUCCUUGCACACACCGCCCGUCGUUUCAUCNAAGUUUGCUUUUAGCGAGGUGAUG
rnacentral:rRNA from 1 species